UACGAAGGGGCUAGCGUUGCUCGGAAUCACUGGGCGUAAAGCGCACGUAGGCGGAUUGUUAAGUCAGGGUGAAAUCCUGGAGCUCAACUCCAGAACUGCCUUUGAUACUGGCGAUCUUGAGUCCGGGAGAGGUGAGUGGAACUCCGAGUGUAGAGGUGAAAUUCGUAGAUAUUCGGAGGAACACCAGUGGCGAAGGCGGCUCACUGGUCCAUUACUGACGCUGAGGUGCGAAAGCGUGGGAGCAAACAGG
rnacentral:rRNA from 1 species